rnacentral:rRNA from 1 species
AGAAUCAACGCUGGCGGCGUGCCUAACACAUGCAAGUCGAACGCGAAAGCCCCGCAAGGGGUUAGUAGAGUGGCAAACGGGUGAGUAACACGUGGGUGACCUGCCUUAGAGUGGGGGAUAACGUCCCGAAAGGGACGCUAAUACCGCAUAACAUCCUGCCUUUGAAGAGGUGGAGAUCAAAGCUGGGGACCGCAAGGCCUAGCGCUCAAAGAGGGGCCCGCGCCUGAUUAGCUAGUUGGUGGGUAAUGGCUCACCAAGGCAACGAUCAGUA